CGAUCUGUCCUGAUUUCUGGCCACAUAUUCUUGAACAGUUCUUUAACAGAAGCAUUCUGCAUUGCAAUAUUAGAGGCUGCUAGUUGUGGACUAUUGACAGUCAGUACACGCGUCGGAGGGUGUCCCAGAGGUCCUACCAGAUGACAUGAUUGUACUUGCAGAACCAGAUCCUGGUGAUAUGGUACAGGCAAUUAAAAAGGCAAUCUCUCUUCUUCCAAAAAUUGACCCAC
rnacentral:misc_RNA from 1 species